CAGCCCUUGACAUCCCGGUCGCGGCGAGUGGAGACAUUCGCUUUCAGUUCGGCUGGACCGGAGACAGGUGCUGCAUGGCUGUCGUCAGCUCGUGUCGUGAGAUGUUGGGUUAAGUCCCGCAACGAGCGCAACCCUCGCCCUUAGUUGCCAGCAUUCAGUUGGGCACUCUAAGGGGACUGCCGGUGAUAAGCCGAGAGGAAGGUGGGGAUGACGUCAAGUCCUCAUGGCCCUUACGGGCUGGGCUACACACGUGCUACAAUGGUGGUGACAGUGGGCAGCGAGCACGCGAGUGUGAGCUAAUCUCCAAAAGCCAUCUCAGUUCGGAUUGCACUCUGCAACUCGAGUGCAUGAAGUUGGAAUCGCUAGUAAUCGCGGAUCAGCACGCCGCGGUGAAUACGUUCCC
rnacentral:rRNA from 1 species